AGCGAGGUAGCCCAAUUUGGCAGAGGCGGCAGAAUGAGAUUCUGCUCAGUGCAGGUUCGAGUCCUGUCCUCGCUA
rnacentral:tRNA from 1 species